UACAGAGGUCCCGAGCGUUGUUCGGAUUUACUGGGCGUAAAGGGUGCGUAGGUGGCCGGGAAAGUCUGAUGUGAAAUCUCCGAGCUUAACUUGGAAAUGGCAUUGGAAACUAUCUGGCUUGAGGCCGGAGGGGAGACUGGAAUUCUCGGUGUAGCAGUGAAAUGCGUAGAUAUCGAGAGGAACACCAGUGGCGAAAGCGAGUCUCUGGACGGCCUCUGACACUGAAGCACGAAAGCUAGGGAGCAAACAGG
rnacentral:rRNA from 1 species